rnacentral:rRNA from 1 species
UUGAACGCUGGCGGCAGGCCUAACACAUGCAAGUCGAAUGGUAACAGGAAACAGCUUGCUGUUUCGCUGACGAGUGGCGGACGGGUGAGUAAUGUCUGGGAAACUGCCUGAUGGAGGGGGAUAACUACUGGAAACGGUAGCUAAUACCGCAUAACGUCGCAAGACCAAAGAGGGGGACCUUCGGGCCUCUUGCCAUCAGAUGUGCCCAGAUGGGAUUAGCUAGUAGGUGGGGUAACGGCUCACCUAGGCGACGAUCCCUAGCUGGUCUGAGAGGAUGACCAGCCACACUGGAACUGAGACACGGUCCAGACUCCUACGGGAGGCAGCAGUGGGGAAUAUUGCACAAAGGGCGCAAGCCUGAUGCAGCCAUGCCGCGUGUAUGAAGAAGGCCUUCGGGUUGUAAAGUACUUUCAGCGGGGAGGAAGGGAGUAAAGUUAAUACCUUUGCUCAUUGACGUUACCCGCAGAAGAAGCACCGGCUAACUCCGUG